rnacentral:tRNA from 1 species
GGAGUCAUAGCUCAGUGGUAGAGUGCUCACCUAGCAUGUGUGAGGUACUGGGUUCAAUCCUUAUCACUACA